rnacentral:rRNA from 1 species
GCCAUGCCGCGUGUGUGAAGAAGGCCUUUUGGUUGUAAAGCACUUUAAGCGAGGAGGAGGCUACUGGUAUUAAUACUACCGGAUAGUGGACGUUACUCGCAGAAUAAGCACCGGCUAACUCUGUGCCAGCAGCCGCGGUAAUACAGAGGGUGCGAGCGUUAAUCGGAUUUACUGGGCGUAAAGCGUGCGUAGGCGGCUUUUUAAGUCGGAUGUGAAAUCCCUGAGCUUAACUUAGGAAUUGCAUUCGAUACUGGGAGGCUAGAGUAUGGGAGAGGAUGGUAGAAUUCCAGGUGUAGCGGUGAAAUGCGUAGAGAUCUGGAGGAAUACCGAUGGCGAAGGCAGCCAUCUGGCCUAAUACUGACGCUGAGGUACGAAAGCAUGGGGAGCAAACAGGAUUAGAUACCCUGGUAGUCCAUGCCGUAAACGAUGUCUACUAGCCGUUGGGGCCUUUGAGGCUUUAGUGGCGCAGCUAACGCGAUAAGUAGACCGCCUGGGGAG